rnacentral:lncRNA from 1 species
UCUCCCCUCCAGUGGGUACGCAAGCCGAAGAAGGCGAUGAGUACUCACCAGAUCAGGAAGAGCUAUAUAAUAAUACGGGUCAGUGGGAAUACAGUAGGAAUAAUAGUAAAUGAAAAGAGAUGUAUAGGAAAGAACAGAUAUACUAAAAUGGCCGUAGCAACAAUAAUACAUGAACAGAAUGUAUAAGAACGACUACCGCUACUGUAAGAAGAAUAUAAAACAUACCUGGGUAUCAAACUAUAGUAGCAAGACAAGUAUAUAGAAAGAACUGUAAGUAUGCAUGCAACAACUGCUACUAUAGACGUAUGCAUCAACGGGACAAUCAGUCCAAAAGUACCCAAUCUAAAACCAAUGCUCUCUUGGUCAGCACCGCAGACCUCAAACCAAUGCCACUACUACUCUCCAGUGCAUAUAACCCCUCUAGGGCUCACGGGUUGUCACCAUUCAACCACUUUUUCGGAAAAGAACACUCCUUGCGGUGGAUCAGACCGCCAGUGUUCGUGAAAUGCGACGAGUAUCGGGCGAUCAAUGCAAUAUGCUCAAUGAUCAACCGUCGGCAACCAGCCGACAAUCCUGCCCCCCAGGGCCCAUCGACCGUAUGGGUAUCAUGUAACCAAAUCGACCAACC